rnacentral:misc_RNA from 1 species
GCUUUUUUUUAGUAUUAUUUCGCGUUUGUUUGGUUGUCACCCAUCUUCCUUCAGUACUCGAAAGAAGCAUACGCACACAUACAACAGUCCCCUCAAAAAAAAAGAAACAGAAAUCUCUCGAGUCGAAUAAAAAAUGCGCGACCAUGCAUGCGUGCGCUACCGCGGAUGCUGCAGUGAGAGUGAUGCCGAUAGGAAAAGAGCCUGCAUCGCUUUCGCGUCCUUUUCGCAGCCGUCGAAACGUGUCGCGAUGCGACCAUUCGUCUUGCGCGACGAUGACGUGCUCCCGUGGAAACUGCGGGAGGCGACUUUCAUGCGCAGGGGCGUUCGCGUGUUGUGUUUGCUACGUGGGGCAGCCGAAGUACGAGAGGUGAGGUGCUUUUGUGCGUAAGGGGACUUUGAG